UCUUGCCAGUCUAAAAUACUAGUGAAUAAGGGGUGGGCAAGUUCUGGUGUCAGCCGCCCCGGUAAAACCAGCACCUCAAGUGGUCAGGAGGAUUAUUGGGCCUAAAGCAUCCGUAGCCUGCUCUGUAAGUUUUCGGUUAAAUCUAUAUGCUCAACGUAUAGGCUGCCGAAAAUACUGCAGUGCUAGGAAGUGGGAGAGGUAGACGGUACUUGGUAGGAAGGGGUAAAAUCCUUUGAUCUAUCGAUGACCACCUGUGGCGAAGGCGGUCUACCAGAACACGUUCGACGGUGAGGGAUGAAAGCUGGGGGAGCAAACCGGAUUAGAUACCCGGGUAGUCCCAGCUGUAAACGAUGCAGACUCGAUGAUGCAUUGGCAUCUAGCCAGUGCAGUGUCGCAGGGAAGCCGUUAAGUCUGCCGCCUGGGAAGUACGUACGCAAGUAUGAAA
rnacentral:rRNA from 1 species